AAAAGACUCUCAUUCACUCAGUAGUAUUUGCAUACGAUUCGGCGAGUUCAGUGUUGAUCGAUAGCUUGCUUCGAGAGCAACUGUUUUUGUGUGCUAUGCUAUGUUUAUAGGAACUUAUGCUUCAAGUUCAUUAUUGUGUUCAAUCGAAAAAUAUGCAUAUAAUACUGUAAAUGCGUUUAUUACAAGAAUUCUGAAUCGAUU